rnacentral:rRNA from 1 species
CCCUUAGAUGUUCUGGGCCGCACGCGUGCUACACUGAGUAAUUCAAUGGGUAAGGGAACGCUAGAGCAUUACCUAAUCUUGAAAUUUGCUCGUGAUGGGGAUCGACGGUUGCAAUUUUCCGUCGUGAACGAGGAGUACCUUGUAGGCGCAUGUCAUCAUCAUGCGCCGAAUACGUCCCUGCCCUUUGUACACACCGCCCGUCGCUCCUACCGAUUGAGUGAUCCGGUGAGGCUCUGGGACCUGGACGGAAAGAGCGUUUCGCUUGUUCUGUUUGGGAAACUUGGUCGAACCUUAUCAUUUAGAGGAAGGAGAAGUCGUAACA